AAUUAGAAUUUUGGAAUUCCAGUAUCGGGCACUUGUUAAUUUGCUGUCGACUAGAAAGCAGGUGUUACACAAAUUAGUUAAAAUUUCUAAAAGAAAAAGAAAAGAUGCCAAACAAGAGAAAUGCCAUAGGAUCGCCAUAAAGGGCCAUGGGAAAGAAGAGUAGAGCGGCUAGCAGGACAGGAGGACAGAGAGAGCAGAACGAAGAAAUCCCCCAAAAGAAGGACGGAGCUGGCCGGAAAAGAACUGCCUAGAAAAUACAAGGGGUCGGACACGUGGUGGCAGAAGGACAUGUGGAAACUACUGAUUUCUCAUCAGGUAAUGAGUCGGAGGAGGAUGCACGAGCGUUCCCCGCUUUAAGGCACGACCCGUUACACCAAAACUUUGAAAUUGCAAAUAAUUCCAUUGAUUUCACUCCGUCACAAGAACCUAGCAUUCAUGACACAGUGGGGGAACACGUGCCUUU
rnacentral:lncRNA from 1 species